rnacentral:lncRNA from 1 species
GCCGCCGCCGCCGCUGCUGGCCGGCGCCACCGCCGCUGCCUCGCAGGAGCCCGACAGCCCGUGCCGGCUGAAGACCGUCACGGUGUCCACACUGCCCGCCCUGCGGGAGAGCGACAUCGGCUGGAGCGGCGCCCGCGCCGGGGCCGGGGCUGGGACCGGGGCCGGAGCCGCCGCCGCCGCGUCCCCGGGCUCUCCUGGCUCUGCCGGCACAGCCGCCGAGUCGCGCCUCCUGCUCUUUGUGCGCAACGAGCUGCCGGGGCGCAUCGCGGUGCAGGACGAUCUGGACAACACCGAGCUGCCCUUCUUCACCCUGGAGAUGUCUGGCACAGCGGCGGACAUCUCGCUGGUGCACUGGAGACAGCAGUGGCUGGAGAAUGGCACCUUGUACUUCCACGUCUCCAUGAGCAGCUCCGGGCAGCUGGCCCAAGCCACCGCCCCAACUCUCCAGGAGCCCUCGGAGAUUGUUGAGGAGCAGAUGCACAUCCUCCACAUUUCUGUGAUGGGUGGCCUCAUCGCGCUGCUGCUGCUGCUGCUGGUGUUCACCGUGGCGCUGUACGCCCAGCGACGUUGGCAGAAGCGUCGCCGCAUCCCCCAGAAGAGCGCAAGCACAGAAGCCACUCAUGAGAUCCACUACAUCCCAUCUGUGCUGCUGGGUCCCCAGGCGCGGGAGAGCUUCCGUUCCUCCCGGCUGCAAACCCACAAUUCCGUCAUCGGCGUGCCCAUCCGGGAGACUCCCAUCCUGGAUGACUAUGACUGUGAGGAGGACGAGGAGCCACCUAGGCGGGCCAACCAUGUCUCCCGCGAGGACGAGUUUGGCAGCCAGGUGACCCACACUCUGGAUAGUCUGGGACGUCCAGGGGAAGAGAAGGUGGACUUUGAGAAGAAAGGGGGAAUCAGCUUUGGGAGAGCCAAGGGGACGUCGGGCUCUGAGGCAGACGAUGAAACGCAGCUGACGUUCUACACGGAGCAGUACCGCAGUCGCCGCCGCAGCAAAGGUUUACUGAAAAGCCCAGUGAACAAGACAGCCCUGACAUUGAUUGCUGUGAGCUCCUGCAUCCUGGCCAUGGUGUGUGGCAGCCAGAUGUCUUGUCCCCUCACUGUGAAGGUGACUCUGCAUGUGCCCGAGCACUUCAUAGCAGAUGGAAGCAGCUUCGUGGUGAGUGAAGGGAGCUACCUGGAUAUCUCCGACUGGUUAAACCCGGCCAAGCUUUCCCUGUAUUACCAGAUCAAUGCCACCUCCCCAUGGGUGAGGGACCUCUGUGGACAAAGGACAACAGACGCCUGUGAGCAGGUCUGCGACCCAGAAACCGGAGAGUGCAGCUGCUAUGAAGGCUAUGCCCCUGACCCUGUUCACAGACACCUGUGUGUGCGCAGUGACUGGGGACAGAGUGAAGGACCUUGGCCCUACACGACACUCGAGAGGGGCUAUGAUCUGGUGACAGGGGAGCAAGCCCCUGAAAAGAUUCUCAGGUCUACUUUCAGCUUGGGCCAAGGCCUCUGGCUUCCUGUCAGCAAAAGCUUUGUGGUUCCACCUGUGGAGCUGUCCAUCAACCCCCUGGCCAGCUGCAAGACCGAUGUACUCGUCACGGAAGACCCUGCAGACGUCAGGGAAGAAGCCAUGCUGUCCACAUACUUUGAAACCAUCAAUGACCUGCUGUCCUCCUUCGGGCCAGUUCGUGACUGCUCUCGGAACAAUGGGGGCUGCACUCGUAACUUCAAGUGUGUAUCUGACCGGCAGGUGGACUCCUCAGGAUGUGUGCAUUCGUCUGCUUUUUGAACUCAGGAACAUAACCACAGAGACUGCUGAGAUAUAACUUACAGCGUUUUUUUAAAAUUUGAUUUAAAAAAAUAAUUUCAACAUUUAUUAUAGAUUCAGAGGUACAUGUGCAGGUUUGUUACCUGGAUACAUUGUGUGAUUCUGAGGUUUGCGGUACAAUUGAUCCCAUCACUCAGGUACUAAGCGUAGUGCCCAAUAAGUAGUUUUUUAAUCCUUGCCCGUUUCUUCCCUUCACACCCCCUGCCUUCUUCCCCCGUCUAGUAGUCCCCAGUGUCUCUUAUUGCCACUUUUAUGUCCAUGAGUACCCAAUAUUUAGCUCCCACUUUUUUUUUUUUUUUUUUUUUUUUGAGACGGAGCUUUGCUCACAUUACCCAGGCUACAAUGCAAUGGUGCAAUCUUGGCUCACUGCAGCCUCUGCCUCCUGAGUUCAAGCGAUUCUCCUGCAUCAGCCUCCCGAGUACCUGGGAUUACAGGUGCCCGCCACCACCCCUGGUUAAUCUGUAGUAUUUUUAGUAGACAUGGGGGGGGUGGGGGUUUCACCAUGUUGGCCAGGCUGGUCUCGAACUCCUGAUCUCAGGUGAUCCACCCACCUCGGCCUCCCAAAGUGUCGGGAUUACAGGUGUGAGCCACCGCGCCCAGCCUAGCUCCCACUUAUAAGUGAGAACAUGUGGUAUUUAGUUUUCUGUUCCUGUGUUAAUUAGCUUAGGAUAACGGUCUCCAGCUGCAACCGUAUUACUGCAAAGGGCAUGAUUUUCUUUUUAUGGCUGCAUAGUAUUCCAUGUAUAUAUGCACCACAUUAUUUUUUUAUCCAGUCCACCAUUGAUGGGCACCCAGGUUGAGUCCAUGUCUUUAUAUUGUGAAUAGGGCGGCAAUGAACAUACGGUUGCAUGUGUCUUUUUGGUAGAAUGAUUUAUUUUCUUUUGGAUGUAUACCCAGUAAUGGGAUUGCUGGCUCUGAAGGAUACAUAAUUUUCUUCAAGAAUAGGAGGCCAGGCCUGGCUGAGGGCAAAAUGUAGAGAGAGAUACUGAGGGUUGGACCCUGCAGAGAACAGAUGCUGGCUGGUUGUGCCUAAGUGGUUUCCAGAUCCAGGUGUAGGCAGAGAUGAAACAGGGGUGUGGUUUUCAUUCUGUGCCAGGGAGCUCUCCUGGGGGAUGGGAGCAGGCUCUGUGUCCUCCACUCUGAAGUCUCAGGCCCCCUGGUGGUGCCUGCAGCAGCUGUCCUUCAUUACGCAGGACUAUUGAUCCCUGUAAUCCUUUUUGCAUGCCUCCCCCAACCCCCCACCGCUUCCCUCCUUCUCAGCACCGAAGUCCAGCACAAAUUGAGCGGCAGCUGAAUUGGCAUGAGUUGAUUAAAACUCCCAGUAAUUAUGGGCUCUUGAUUGGCCUGGUUGUCCAAAUCAAUGUCUGCAUUAAUAGACAGGCUAGCUGGCCUAGUUGACAGAUUGAGGCUGAGUGGCGAGAGGGGUGGGGGACUGAGGACUGGCAGAGCCUUUCCCACUCACUCAUAUGCCAGGAAGCACACCAGAGGUCUCCUGGGAUGAGAAGAACCAGGCCCACUCAGUUUCUUAUCAAAGGGAUGGUUCAUAUUGAAGAAUUCAGCAGCCCUUCCUCAGCCUGUGUGAUCUUCAAUAACCUUGCCUGUAAAAUGAGUAUAUUGUAUUUUAGGGGUCCUCUAAGUUUUGGGGGGAUUAAAAAAUAUAGCAUACUGGGAAACAUCCAGCUCAUGGCAGGUGCAUAAUAAAUAUGCAUUUCAUUUCCUUCCUUGCAUCUUUCCCUACCUCUUUUUCCCAAGAUGCUGUACCUAAUCUGUAUAUCCAAGACUAUGCCACAAGCAACCUCUCUGUCCCUAAAGCACCCAAGUCCUCUGAUAACCCAUUACAGGGCCUUUCCCACAAGAUUCUCACAAUCUCUGUAUUACCCUAGCCAGUCUGAACCACUUGUGACACCACAGACAGGCCACCUCUAUGCGGUUCAGGGAAAAGAGCACCUCAUUUGGCCGCAUAGUCAGGGGGCCUUCAGUGGUGGGCUUAGUCAGCCUCUUACUUGCUGUUUGACCUAAGGCAGCUCACCUGACCUCUCUGAGUUUCAGUUUCCUCAUCGGAAAAGUAGGCAUGGAAGAAAUGCCUACCAUCUCCCUGUAUGUGAUUCCCUUACAUUUCUCCCGGAAUGUCUCCUAUUUGGAGAAA